rnacentral:sRNA from 1 species
CUUUCCAGCCGGAAGGAGGUGAUACCUUGCAAUACAUAAUAUCUUUUCUCAUUUCUGUUAUGGCUGGUGUGAUUUGUUAUUACAUCAGCAAAUGGCUAGACAGAAAAUAAAUACCAACAGUUAGCCUGGGUUAAUCCUCCCAAAAAGGAAAAAGAAUCCCCUGAGAGUAGCCGCUCUCAGGGGAUUUGUCUUGUGAC